GAUGAACGCUGGCGGCGUGCUUAACACAUGCAAGUCGAACGAUGAAGCCCAGCUUGCUGGGUGGAUUAGUGGCGAACGGGUGAGUAACACGUGAGUAACCUGCCCUUGACUCUAGGAUAAGCCCGGGAAACUGGGUCUAAUACUGGAUAGGAACGUCUACCGCAUGGAGGGUGUUGGAAAGAAUUUCGGUCAUGGAUGGACUCGCGGCCUAUCAGCUUGUUGGUGAGGUAAUGGCUCACCAAGGCGACGACGGGUAGCCGGCCUGAGAGGGUGACCGGCCACACUGGGACUGAGACACGGCCCAGACUCCUACGGGAGGCAGCAGUGGGGAAUAUUGCACAAUGGGCGAAAGCCUGAUGCAGCGACGCCGCGUGAGGGAUGACGGCCUUCGGGUUGUAAACCUCUUUCAGUAGGGAAGAAGCGAAAGUGACGGUACCUGCAGAAGAAGCACCGGCUAACUACGUG
rnacentral:rRNA from 1 species